UGUAUUUAUUAUCGUUGUGUGAAUGAAUAAACUGGUUAUACAGGUUUUUGAAGGUGAUAUAUGUCCAAUGGUGCGGAAAUCAAGAUUUCCUCGUGCACAGAUUUGUAGGUUUAGUCAUUCGACAGGCAAGCAGGGUAGAGCGAAGACUUGAUUUAAAUCGUUUUAUUUAUUUUCUCAACCACAUUUCAUUGUGAAAUUUGAUUUAUUUUUGUGUCGUAUUGGCGUUGGUAAUUUAUUAAUAUGGACAGUCAGGAUGAGAGGAGAGAUCGUCUCGCCGGCGGGGACAGGGCUGGCACAGUAAAUGGACACACGUAGCGACCACGUGGUAGCGGUCAAGAAGUGAGUUUUAUGAGAGCAGACGGAUGACUGACUUGAGAUAGAAAGGGGCAUUGGUUCCGGACAUUUUACCAUGGGAUUUACAUAGUUUUCUAAAGAGAAUACUUAACGUUUACGAUAUAGUAACAGCUGAUUAUUUGUAGAUUUCUCUAAAAUUAGAGGUUUCAGGAGGUGAUGAAGGCACCUAGACACCGGUCUUGAGCCAUGGGUCCUCAUACGUCCCCCUGCCAUUAAAAGAAAAAUGAAAAAUGAGCAGUAGGGUUGCGUAUCCCGCUCGCGGUUACACCUGAAUCGUUCGUUUCCACCGAUUAUUGUUUGGGGUGUACGUGAAGUCAUGUGCACUUCUCUUAAUUGAUGGUAAUGAAUAAAUCUUGUAAUUAUCGCAGCUGUUUUAUCAAAACUAAUGCUUCACUUUAUGUACUUUUCGCAAAUAGGCGUUGUGGAUGGGCAUAGGGGGCGUCCUCGGUGCGCUUUGGGCAUCGGCGGCGGACGGGCGGUUGUUAGGGCCGUGGCGUCCUUGUUUGGGCUUGUGAUUUUGAAUUGUGUAGUUAAAUUGUGCAAUUGUAUGAUUUUGAGUUUAGGCUUGACGUCUGAUGGGUAUUAAAAAUA